AAUGAACGCUGGCGGCAUGCCUAACACAUGCAAGUCGAACGAGACCUUCGGGUCUAGUGGCGCACGGGUGCGUAACGCGUGGGAAUCUGCCCUUGGGUUCGGAAUAACAGUUAGAAAUGACUGCUAAUACCGGAUGAUGUCGAAAGACCAAAGAUUUAUCGCCCGAGGAUGAGCCCGCGUAGGAUUAGCUAGUUGGUGAGGUAAAGGCUCACCAAGGCGACGAUCCUUAGCUGGUCUGAGAGGAUGAUCAGCCACACUGGGACUGAGACACGGCCCAGACUCCUACGGGAGGCAGCAGUGGGGAAUAUUGGACAAUGGGCGAAAGCCUGAUCCAGCAAUGCCGCGUGAGUGAUGAAGGCCUUAGGGUUGUAAAGCUCUUUUACCCGGGAUGAUAAUGACAGUACCGGGAGAAUAAGCUCCGGCUAACUUCGUGCCAGCAGCCGCCGUAA
rnacentral:rRNA from 1 species